UCUAUGUAAAACUUAAUAAAGUUGUGUCCAAAUUCAUUUUAACAACACAUUAUAUAUGCACUAACUUCAGGAAAUUUACUGAAGGGAAAUGGCUCAAAAGACUUUUUAGACCUCAGCAUUAUUUUUUUGAUUUAUAUGUAGAUGAUUUGAAAUUAUCUUUUUUUUACAUACUGGUGAUUGGCUUGGAAUGUGAUGAAUGUAACAAUUUCAUUAUUCUUAAAAUUAAUCUUUUCUGAUAUCAGUGGUAAAAUUAUAUUAGGAGUUUUUCUUCUUUGUUUAUCAAUAUUAUUCCUCAUUAAAGAAAUGUUAUUUUCUCUCUUCAUCAUCUGAAAAAAAAAAAAAAAAGAAAAAAAAAAGGAUGUCUUUGCUUUUCAGAGCAUCAGCGGGAGGGCUGAACUUGAAGGAAAAACUAACAUUUCUAUAUGGCAUUUUGCAAUGACAAGGACUUAUUAAGUAUGACUUUAGCCCUUUUUGUUUAUCACCUGAAGAUGCUCUGUCUCUUUAAAAGCCAGCUAGUCUGAACUCAUUCUUGGGUACAUGGAGCUCAAAUAAAUACAUAUGAACUUAGUAACUUAGUACUUGUUUUACUUCCUCUCUCAUUAUAAAACUAAUGUUAAAUAUCUCUACAUAUAUUGAAUAAAGAUAAUGAUUGUAAAAAAAAAAAAUUAGCUGAACAUAUGCUAUUUAUUCAAGGAGUUGUAUACCACAGACAGCAACAGAUUAAAUUCACACACAGCCAUGGCAUUUCACCCAUGUACCACGUUUCUGCAGGAGGAAGUAAUUGUGAUGUCAAUUGUGAUGUCUGUGACAUUAGACAAUACACAAUUAGAUAGUAAUUUCUGGCACAUUUGGCAUAAAAUUACUAUAAAAAUUGAAUAGGUGGGAUUUAAACCUAAAGUGUUCAUGAAUUAGAGAAGGAAGAGAUGCUUCUGAGCCAUGGAACUUCUUGCAAGAACAGUAAUGACCAUUAAAAAUGCCUUAGUUUACAUCUGUUUCUGUACUUCCUUUGUACCUGCAAGAUGUGUGCAGAUCAACAUUAUUUGGCAGCCAUUUUCUUCAGAGAGAAAAAGGCUUACAAGAAGGUUCUCACACUGUAAAAAUACAAGGGCUACUCACUUCUGUAGGUGCAUUGAUGGACAUUACUGGAUUCUGUACAUUCAUAAUGUUGUGACAGCUCCAUUCCUCUUAGGAGGUAAUCUAUGAAGAUAUUCAUUUGGCCAUGGCCUACAGCAUGCAAAGAGAGGGAGGUCCUUCUUGGACAUGGAGAACCUGGAAGCCAACAAUCAUCAAGAAGAAAAUGAGUCUGCAGACACAAUAAAGCAGUAUUGUACCUAUCUAGAACUAUAUCU
rnacentral:lncRNA from 1 species